rnacentral:rRNA from 1 species
GACAGAGGGUGCAAACGUUGUUCGGAAUUACUGGCGUAAAGCGCACGUAGGCGGACUGUUAAGUCGGGGGUGAAAUCCUGGGGCUCAACCUCAGAAUUGCCUCCGAUACUGGCAGUCUCGAGUGCGGGAGAGGUGAGUGGAAUUCCCAGUGUAGAGGUGAAAUUCGUAGAUAUUGGGAAGAACACCAGUGGCGAAGGCGGCUCACUG